rnacentral:rRNA from 1 species
UGAGUACGAGAUGCUACGGCAUCGAAGCAGUCUAUGUCAUACUUCCAAGAAAAGCUUGCACUGUCAUAAACAAAGAAUGCCUGUACCAUAACCGACACAGGUGGGUAGGUAGAGUAUACUAAGGGGCGCGAGAUAACUCUCUCUAAGGAACUCGGCAAAAUGACUCCGUAACUUCGGGAGAAGGAGUGCCUUAUUUCUAAGGUUGCAAUAACAAGAUCCAAGCAACUGUUUACCAAAAACACAGGUCUCCGCUAAGUCGUAAGACGAUGUAUGGGGGCUGACGCCUGCCCAGUGCCAGAAGGUUAAAGAAGUUGGUUAGCAUUAGCGAAGCUGAUAACUGAAGCCCUGGUGAACGGCGGCCGUAACUAUAACGGUCCUAAGGUAGCGAAAUUCCUUGUCGGGUAAGUUCCGACCCGCACGAAAGGCGUAAUGAUUUGGAUACUGUCUCGGAGAGGGGCUCGGUGAAAUAGACUUGUCUGUGAAGAUGCGGACUACCUGCACCUGGACAGAAAGACCCUAUGAAGCUUUACUGUAACUUGAGAUUGAAAUUGGACUUUAUUUGCGCAGUAUAGGUGGGAGGCGUUGAGAAUAAUCUUGCGGGAUUGUUGGAGCCAUCAGUGAGAUACCACUCUUGUAAUGUUAGAUUUCUAACUUUGUAUCAUUAUCUGGUCAAAGAACAGUUUCAGGCGGGCAGUUUGACUGGGGCGGUCGCCUCCCAAAGGGUAACGGAGGCGCACAAAGGUUUCCUCUGAACGGGUAGAAAUCGUAUCUAGAGUGUAAAGGCAUAAGGAAGCUUGACUGUGAGACCUACAAGUCGAGCAGGGACGAAAGUCGGUCUUAGUGAUCUGACGGUGCUGAGUGGAAAGGCCGUCACUCAACGGAUAAAAGUUACUCUAAGGAUAACAGGCUGAUCUCCCCCAAGAGUUCACAUCGACGGGGAGGUUUGGCACCUCGAUGUCGGCUCAUCGCAUCCUGGGGCGGUAGUCCGUCCCAAGGGUUGGGCUGUUCGCCCAUGAAAGCGGUACGCGAGCUGGGUUCAGAACGUCGUGAGACAGUUCGGUCCAUAUCCGGUGUAGGCGUUAGAAUAUUGAGAGGAGCCUUCUCUAGUACGAGAGGACCGAGAAGGACAUACCUCUGGUGUACCAGUUAUCGUGCCAACGGUAAACGCUGGGUAGCUAUGUAUGGAGUGGAUAACCGCUGAAAGCAUCUAAGUGGGAAGCCCACCUCAAGAUAAGUA